GAGUUUGAUCCUGGCUCAGAAUCAACGCUGGCGGCGUGCCUAACACAUGCAAGUCGAACGCGAAAGCCCCGCAAGGGGCAAGUAGAGUGGCAAACGGGUGAGUAACACGUGGGUGACCUGCCUUCGAGCGGGGGAUAACGUCCCGAAAGGGACGCUAAUACCGCAUAACAUCCCACCUUUGAAGAGGUGGAGAUCAAAGCCGGGGAUCGCAAGACCCGGCACUUGAAGAGGGGCCCGCGUCUGAUUAGCUAGUUGGUGGGGUAACGGCCUACCAAGGCAACGAUCAGUAUCCGGCCUGAGAGGGCGGACGGACACACUGGGACUGAGACACGGCCCAGACUCCUACGGGAGGCAGCAGUGGGGAAUUGUUCGCAAUGGGCGCAAGCCUGACGACGCAACGCCGCGUGGAGGAUGAAGAUUUUCGGAUCGUAAACUCCUGUCGAAUGGGACGAACAGAUUGCGGGUUAACAGCCCGUGGUCCUGACGGUACCGUUAAAGGAAACCCCGGCUACUCCGUGCCAGCAGCCGCGGUAAUACGGGGGGGGUAAGCGUUGUUCGGAAUUACUGGGCGUAAAGGGCUCGUAGGCGGCCAACUAAGUCAUACGUGAAAUCCCUCAGCUUAACUGGGGAACUGCGUGUGAUACUGGAUGGCUUGGAUUUGGGAGAGGGAUGCGGAAUUCCAGGUGUAGCGGUGAAAUGCGUAGAUAUCUGGAGGAACACCGGUGGCGAA
rnacentral:rRNA from 1 species